GGAAUUGUUCGCAAUGGGCGAAAGCCUGACGACGCAACGCCGCGUGGAGGAUGAAGACCUUCGGGUCGUAAACUCCUUUCGACCGAGAUGAAUACAUGCCGACCUAAUACGUCGGUGUGCUGACAGUAUCGAGGGAAGAAGCCCCGGCUAACUCCGUGCCAGCAGCCGCGGUAAUACGGGGGGGGCAAGCGUUGUUCGGCAUUACUGGGCGGAAAGGGUUCGUAGGUGGCCAACUAAGGCAGACGUGAAAUCCCUCGGCUCAACCGGGGAACUGCGUCUGAUACUGGUUGGCUUGAGUGCAGGAGAGGAACGCGGAAUUCCAGGUGUAGCGGUGAAAUGCGUAGAUAUCUGGAGGAACACCGGUGGCGAAGGCGGCGUUCUGGACUGCAACUGACACUGAGGAACGAAAGCCAGGGGAGCAAAC
rnacentral:rRNA from 1 species